UACGUAGGCAGCAAGCGUUGUUCGGAGUUACUGGGCGUAAAGGGUGUGUAGGCGGUCUUCUAAGUCUGGUGUGAAAUCUCCCGGCUCAACUGGGAGGGUGCGCCGAAAACUGGAAGGCUUGAAUCCGGGAGAGGGAUGCGGAAUUCCAGGUGUAGCGGUGAAAUGCGUAGAUAUCUGGAGGAACACCGGUGGCGAAGGCGGCAUCCUGGACCGGUAUUGACGCUGAGGCGCGAAAGCCAGGGGAGCAAACGGGG
rnacentral:rRNA from 1 species